UUUCAUGUCGAUUUCAUUUCAUG
ensembl:ncRNA